GUGAGGGAAUGACUGGUGACAGAGGGGGUGACUAGUGACCGAGUGAGGGAGGGAGUGGGUGACUAGUGACAGAGUGAGGAAGGGGGUGACACAGUGAUAGUCACCCCAUUCCUCCCUCUGUCACUAAUCACCACCUCCCUCACUCUCACUAGUCACCCCUUCCCUCCCUCACUCUGUCACUAGUCACACCCUCCCUCUCUCUGUCACUAGUCACACCCUUACUCAC